AACGAACGCUGGCGGCAGGCUUAACACAUGCAAGUCGAACGAAUGUAGCAAUACAUUAGUGGCGCACGGGUGAGUAACGCGUGGAUAUCUGCCUUUUGGUUCGGGAUAACCUUGGGAAAC
rnacentral:rRNA from 1 species